rnacentral:rRNA from 1 species
GAUGAACGCUGGCGGCGUGCCUAACACAUGCCAGUCGAGCGAACGGACGAGAAUCUUGCUUCGCUGAUGUUAGCGGCGGACGGGAGAGUAACACGUGGAUAACCUACCUAUAAGACUGGGAUAACUUCGGGAAACCGGAGCUACUACCGGAUAACCUUUUGAACCACAUGGUUCAAUAGUGAAAGACGGUCUUGCGGUCACUUAUAGCUUGAUCCGCGCUGCAUUAGCUAGUUGGUCAGGUAACGGCUUACCAAGGCAACGAUGCGUAGCCGACCUGAAAGGGUGAUCGGCCACACGGGAACUGAGACACGGUCCAGACUCCUACGGGAGGCAGCAGUCGGGAAUCUUCCGCAAUGGGCGAAAGCCUGAUGGAGCAACGCCGCGUGAGUGAUGAAGGUCUUCGGAUCGUAAAACUCUGUUAUUAGGGAAGAACAUAUGUGUAAGUAUCUGUGCAGAUCUUGACGGUACCUAAUCAAUAAGCCACGGCUAACUACGUG